rnacentral:rRNA from 1 species
UACCCCUAGCAAAUCUCAAAAAACCGUCUCAGUUCGGAUUGUACUCUGCAACUCGAGUGCAUGAAGGUGGAAUCGCUAGUAAUCGCAGAUCAGCACGCUGCGGUGAAUACGUUCCCGGGCCUUGUACACACCGCCCGUCACACCAUGGGAGUUGGCUUUACCCGAAGGCGUUUCGCUAAUCGCAAGGAGGCAGGCGACCACGGUAGGGUCAGCGACUGGGGUGAAG